rnacentral:sRNA from 2 species
AGGUGCCAUCGUUCGCUGAGGCUCCUUCGCGGAAACAGGCCGGCGACCCCGAACGUCGAGAGACGCCCCGGGUCAGGACAGGCCUCCCCGGCUUAAGGGGUGGUCCCGACCGGCUCCCGCCGUCCAUCGGCGGGUUCACGCCGCGAAGUGCCAAAGGUCUGACGAGGAGUGGUGCCC